rnacentral:rRNA from 1 species
UACGUAGGGUCCGAGCGUUGUCCGGAAUUAUUGGGCGUAAAGGGCGCGUAGGCGGCUCGGCACGUCCGUUGUGAAAUCGCCCGGCUCAACUGGGCGGGGUCGGCGGAUACGGCCGAGCUGGAGCAAGCUAGGGGGUAAUGGAAUUCCGCGUGUAGCAGUGAAAUGCGUAGAUAUGCGGAGGAACACCGAUGGCGAAGGCAAUCCCCCUGGGCCUGUACUGACGCUCAUGCGCGAAAGCGUGGGGAGCAAACAGG